GACGAACGCUGGCGGCGUGCUUAACACAUGCAAGUCGAACGGAAAGGCCCUGCUUUUGUGGGGUGCUCGAGUGGCGAACGGGUGAGUAACACGGGAGUAACCUGCCCUGGACUUUGUGAUAACUUCAGGAAACUGGGGCUAAUACCGGAUAGGAGCUCCUGCUGCAUGGUGGGGGUUGGAAAGUUUCGGCGGUUGGGGAUGGACUCGCGGCUUAUCAGCUUGUUGGUGGGGUAGUGGCUUACCAAGGCUUUGACGGGUAGCCGGCCUGGGAGGGUGACCGGCCACAUUGGGACUGAGAUACGGACCAGACUCCUACGGGAGGCAGCAGUGGGGAAUAUUGCACAAUGGGCGGAAGCCUGAUGCAGCAACGCCGCGUGCGGGAUGACGGCCUUCGGGUUGUAAACCGCUUUCGCCUGUGACGAAGCGUGAGUGACGGUAAUGGGUAAAGAAGCACCGGCUAACUACGUG
rnacentral:rRNA from 1 species